rnacentral:pre_miRNA from 1 species
UGACCAAGUGGCUGAGAUCAGUUAAAGUUAAUAUCUUAUCACAGCCUGCUUGGAUCAGC